UAUGCUCGAGCAUCGAACUGCAGAUACGUGAUUCUUUCAUUGUUUGGGUAAGCAUCGUUGCUUAUGUCCAACCGAAAUAUCGGGUUCCUGUGCUGCAUACCCACAAUAGGGGAAUUCUAAUAUGAUGCUGCCAUGAUUUUCGCCUUUGUGCCCCUUAUAGGGCAUAUGGUGGACAACGAAGCGCAUCUUGUGCUGCUAACAUGUCAACAUUGACUGUUUAGAGGCAUGGGAUGUCGCUCGUGCUCUAGGAUGCGGAACUAUACGCGUGGCAGAGGGAUCUUGUCCCUCGAUCAGCCCGAUGUCCCUAAUGCAUAAACGACUGAGAUGCUUGUUUCGAGGCCAAGGCAUGCUGCAUUGUUGGUUGUCAUGGCCUGGUGCAUGCAUCGAAGUCCUGAAGGAAUGC
rnacentral:misc_RNA from 1 species